UCGGGAGGACUGCCGAGUGGCGAACGGGUGAGUAACGCGUAGGUAACCUGCCCUCGAGUGGGGGAUAACCCCGGGAAACUGGGGCUAAUACCGCAUAUUGUCCCGGGACCGCAUGGCCCCGGGAUGAAAGCCCUUUGGGCGCUCGAGGAUGGGCCUGCGUCGGAUUAGCUAGUUGGUGGGGUAACGGCCCACCAAGGCGACGAUCCGUAGCUGGUCUGAGAGGACGGCCAGCCACACUGGCACUGAGACACGGGCCAGACUCCUACGGGAGGCAGCAGUGGGGAAUCUUGGGCAAUGGGCGAAAGCCUGACCCAGCCACGCCGCGUGGAGGAUGAAGCCCUUCGGGGUGUAAACUCCUUUUCUGGGGGAAGAAACCCUGGCUAUGGCCGGGGCUGACGGUACCCCAGGAAUAAGCGCCGGCUAACUCCGUGCCAGCAGCCGCGGUAAUACGGAGGGCGCAAGCGUUGCCCGGAAUCACUGGGUGUAAAGGGUGCGUAGGCGGGGCUGUAAGUCAGAGGUG
rnacentral:rRNA from 1 species